CAUUUAUUAGGUGUUAGGCCAGUGCAAAGACUUGCCUCGUUUCAGUUCUUGGCAGGCUGGCCAAAGAUAGGGAAUAAAUGUCGGGGCUGAGUGGGAAUGCCAGAGGGUGGCUGGGCUGAACCCAGGUAUUUGAUGGGAAACGGCCAGGUGUGGAGAUGCUGGAGCAGGCACAAAAAUCAGCUUUCAGUUGAACUAAGGAGUCUGUGAUGCAUUCAACCAAGGAAGGCAGCUGAAUGGGAAUCCCCAGGCUUGAACGAACGUAGGUGGCUCGAGAUAGCUGCCAACAGGCUUGGUCUCUGCCCUACGGGUGUGGGUGGUUGUGGAGUCGUGGGGGAAGCACUCGAGCUGGCGUUACCUGAAUGCCCCCUUGCCCCGUGCAGGCAGGGAAUAAUAGCGGGUCAGAAGGGCAAAUGGGUCCGUCUACAAGGGAUCAGGGCAGACAGGAUCCAUUGGGUAAAUCCGAUAUCUUUUAUUAGGCCAACUCAAAUAGUUGGAAGAAUUAUUCCUUGCAAGCUUUCGGGCACAAGCGCCCUUCGUCAGGCUGAGGAAGUGUCUGCAGUGAUCUGUGCUCUUGGAUGGAAGAGCACAGAUAAGGGAUCAGGUGUUUGACCCUUCCUCCUUUUCCUCCUUCCUGCUCUCUUCCAGGCAUCUCGUGUCCAUGAUGAUGACUGGAAGGAACAAUAUUCCAGCUAGUUUCUCUAUCCAGGUGCAAGGAGCAAGGCUACUUCUUAUCUACCCAUGUCUUACACUGCUCUAAAUCAGCCUCCCGGAGAUGACUGGAGUUAAAGAGGAAAGUUGAGAAGAGGAUCAUAGAAAAUUCGGGUGAACGUCUCGUUCGGGGUCUUCAUCGUCUACCUCCGCAUCCCCGUCAUCCUGAACCUGCUCGACUCCAGACACGUCAGGGGGUCACAUCUAAUGCAACCCCCUGCUCCAAGCAGGACCGGCCCCAACUACAUCAUCCCAGCCAAGGCUUUGUCUACCUAUAAUGCAGAUAAAGAGUCAUAUACCACCGGAUCAGGCUGCCGCUGUGGUUGCCAUCGCUGUUCUUUAUGCUGCUUCGAGAAACAUGUUCAGAAAGUUUCUUUUCGCUGGCUCAAGGAGUCAGAACUCAUGGCAGAGGGUGCUCUCUUUUAUUAGCCCAGCUAGAUAUUUGCCAAAAAAAAUCUUUAUUUGCAAGCUUUCAGGCACACUCGCCCUUCUUCAGGCCUAGGAGAAUGCAAAGAUUGUAUUCUGGCGGGGCAUGGACAUUCGUAUGCAGAGGAGAGCUGAAGGUGAAGGUGUUGUAAGAUCGCCCGGUUGGAAUCGUUCGUGUUGUGCAAAUUAGGCUCCGAUAAAAGUCUGGCUUGCUCUGCACUGCUUGCUGGACCUGAGGGCAGGAGCUAGCCUUGUAGCCAGCUCCCCACUCAAUUCCUGCCCCUUUCAAAAACCCGUUUCUUCCUAAAUGUGGAUUUUGACCCCAGGCUCUCUCUCCUCCGUCUACACCCCUCCUCAAUGACCUUCCCUUCCAUGUUCUCCCGAUCCCCCGAGGACUCGACGGCAGGAAAUUAUUCUAGUAACUCUGCGGGCCGUUCGGAGCUGGAACAAGAUACCUAGAAGCUGUAGGAUUUCCAUCCUGGGAUGCUGCAAAGAGGCAGGGAGACCGGCUCGGGGAGCCACUUGAAGGAGGGGAUGAAAGACGAGUCCAAGCCAUCGCACACUCCUCCUUCGAGAGGUGAAGCCAUGCGAGGGGUUCAGACCGGUCUUCCCUUCGUCUCCAGAGGACCAGCUGCUUUCCAGUCCAGCGAAGACAAACAGGUCAAGACCGGACAAGAGAACUAAGGUUGCCUUUCAGACAGCCAGGUGGGCGACUGGUGCCGGUUCGGGUCUGGAGUCGAGAAUAAACGGGCCCGGAGAUACCCAGCUGGCUCUUUCCCAAGCGUGCAAGGGAAGGAAAUGGAGGGAGAUGCGGGUUUUAUGGACAGAGAAAACAACCAAGAUGCUUUGGCAAAAACAAUGCAUUUCCGAGCUGAUUUUCUUUCUAUGGGAUGCUCUGUCUUUCCUGUUUACUUGUUAUUUUGGAAAUAGAACAAUAAAUAAUUUACUGCUGAUUGGUUG